AGAGUUUGAUCCUGGCUCAGGAUGAACGCUGGCGGCGUGCCUAAUACAUGCAAGUCGAGCGAACGGACGAGAAGCUUGCUUUUCUGAUGUUAGCGGCGGACGGGUGAGUAACACGUGGAUAACCUACCUAUAAGACUGGGAUAACUUCGGGAAACCAGAGCUAAUACCGGAUAAUAUUUUGAACCGCAUGGUUCAAAAGUGAAAGACGGUCUUGCUGUCACUUAUAGAUGGAUCCGCGCUGCAUUAGCUAGUUGGUAAGGUAACGGCUUACCAAGGCAACGAUGCAUAGCCGACCUGAGAGGGUGAUCGGCCACACUGGAACUGAGACACGGUCCAGACUCCUACGGGAGGCAGCAGUAGGGAAUCUUCCGCAAUGGGCGAAAGCCUGACGGAGCAACGCCGCGUGAGUGAUGAAGGUCUUCGGAUCGUAAAACUCUGUUAUUAGGGAAGAACAUAUGUGUAAGUAACUGUGCACAUCUUGACGGUACCUAAUCAGAAAGCCACGGCUAACUACGUGCCAGCAGCCGCGGUAAUACGUAGGUGGCAAGCGUUAUCCGGAAUUAUUGGGCGUAAAGCGCGCGUAGGCGGUUUUUUAAGUCUGAUGUGAAAGCCCACGGCUCAACCGUGGAGGGUCAUUGGAAACUGGAAAACUUGAGUGCAGAAGAGGAAAGUGGAAUUCCAUGUGUAGCGGUGAAAUGCGCAGAGAUAUGGAGGAACACCAGUGGCGAAGGCGACUUUCUGGUCUGUAACUGACGCUGAUGUGCGAAAGCGUGGGGAUCAAACAGGAUUAGAUACCCUGGUAGUCCACGCCGUAAACGAUGAGUGCUAAGUGUUAGGGGGUUUCCGCCCCUUAGUGCUGCAGCUAACGCAUUAAGCACUCCGCCUGGGGAGUACGACCGCAAGGUUGAAACUCAAAGGAAUUGACGGGGACCCGCACAAGCGGUGGAGCAUGUGGUUUAAUUCGAAGCAACGCGAAGAACCUUACCAAAUCUUGACAUCCUUUGACAACUCUAGAGAUAGAGCCUUCCCCUUCGGGGGACAAAGUGACAGGUGGUGCAUGGUUGUCGUCAGCUCGUGUCGUGAGAUGUUGGGUUAAGUCCCGCAACGAGCGCAACCCUUAAGCUUAGUUGCCAUCAUUAAGUUGGGCACUCUAAGUUGACUGCCGGUGACAAACCGGAGGAAGGUGGGGAUGACGUCAAAUCAUCAUGCCCCUUAUGAUUUGGGCUACACACGUGCUACAAUGGACAAUACAAAGGGCAGCGAAACCGCGAGGUCAAGCAAAUCCCAUAAAGUUGUUCUCAGUUCGGAUUGUAGUCUGCAACUCGACUACAUGAAGCUGGAAUCGCUAGUAAUCGUAGAUCAGCAUGCUACGGUGAAUACGUUCCCGGGUCUUGUACACACCGCCCGUCACACCACGAGAGUUUGUAACACCCGAAGCCGGUGGAGUAACCUUUUAGGAGCUAGCCGUCGAAGGUGGGACAAAUGAUUGGGGUGAAGUCGUAACAAGGUAGCCGUAUCGGAAGGUGCGGCUGGAUCACCU
rnacentral:rRNA from 1 species